AACAUGAUCCCAAUGUCUCUUGGAUCUCAGGCUGACCGUUUAUGGCCUGCCCUGCAUGAGGAGACUUUUAGAACUCCACAGAGGAGCAGCCCACCCAGGCAACGUGUUCUGGAAGGGGUUCCUUGUGUUUGGUGCCUUUUCCAGCUUUGGAGACAGAUAUCUCAGAAUCCAGAUACUCAGCCUCAUGUUGAUCUUCUCUCUUCUAUUCAAGAGAUAAGCUUCUGCCAACAGAGAGAGAAAAUCAUUACUGAACACAUUCUGGAGAUAGAUAAGAAAUACCUAUUUUGCUAACUUCACAGCUGAGGAAACUGAAGGAGAGUGAUUAAAUGUUGCAUUUUCCAUAGCAGAGGCAAAUGAAUUUCUUCCUACACAUAACUUUGAAGAACGAACUCAAUUUCAUGUUGUAAAUCUACCAAAAGAUUUAGGGAUGAGGCAAGGAGGAAGAGAGAGACAGAAUCUAAGCUUCUUCUCACAACCAUAUCAUAUCUGCAUUUGUUGCUUUCUUUUAAAAAAAGGGGACUAUGUCACUGCCUUGGACAAAAUGUGUCCUUUGCUGCCCUUUGAGCACAGCCCAGACCUUUGAGAAUAUUCUGUUUCCCAAGAUGAAGAAAAAUAAUCAUUCCAAUGUGUAUUUGAGAUUCUGCUGUCAGAGGCUUUUCUGCUUUCACACAGGCUCAAUCCUGAGAUGGCUGUUAACUUCAGUAAAGAUGUCAAGAUUGAGUGGCUGAAUUUGGGAACUAGAUUUUGUUCUCUUCACUGAAGCAGCUGGGAGUUGUUGCAAAAG